UUGAAGAUAAAUCUUUGUCAUAUUCAUUAAAUCUAACCUCUCCAUUAGAAUUUCGCCCUUGUAAAGAGAGCAGAGCCACUAGAGCAAAGGAAGGGGAUCGACAAGGGUCUUACCUCGGUAAAUGGAAAAUUAUUUGUUUUAUAUUUUUAAAAUUCAUAAGUUUUAAAUUAAUAUAUAAUAAAAUUAUAAUUUAUUUUUGGGAAAUAUAUAGCUUAAUGUUGCACUUAAAAAAAAAUUCUAGCUACACCCUGCUAUCACCUCAACCUCAACCAUUUUGGGAAUUGAAAUUUGGGGUGUUUUCAAUGGAAUGAAGAACAUCUUGGAGAUAUUUUAAUUCUUGAAACCCAAUCUGCAACUCAAAUCGCUGAUUUGGGAAUAAGAUUUCCGUAAAUACUUUUGGAAACACAACAUUUUCCUUAAGAAAAGUAUUAUUGAUCCAUGCCUGCAACCUUGGAAACUAGAUCAAAUGAAAAUAGUAACUCAGAAAAAUCUUAGAUUUGCAGACAUGUUUAUCAUCCACAACUAUAUUCAAUUUGAUUUCAUCUCUGGCAAAAAUCUUUAAACAUGUUUUGCAUCAAAAAGUUGAGAAUAUUCCAAGCUCAACCAUAAAAAAUAAAUUGGAGAGGGAAAGAAAUACUCUGUUAAACAUUUUAUUUAUAGAACAUCAAAAUCUAAUUGUAUUAGGACCAAAACAGCUCAAAUCCAUUACUUUUCUCAUAUUCUCUUCACAUUUAUUAUUCACCUGUUUAUAAGAAGCAGGUGAAGAAAGGAUGUUGGGAUGACGAGCAAAUGAUCUGAUAUUGGUCCUUGCAUGUUGAUGAAGCGACCUUAUUGUGUAAUUCCACCUGCAAAUCCCUUGGUCCUUAAGGGCCUCCACUGCACCUAUUGUUGCUGCCACAAUCCAUGCCCUACUCAUUGUUGAUUUAUUUUUUAAUUGAGGUUGAGAAAGUGAAAUGGAGGUUGGGUUUUUUUAUAGGAGAAAAGAGUGGGGAAAAUCCCAAAAUCAAGAGGCGAUUGAAGCCAGAUAUGUGGAGAGAAAGUUCCCCGGUUUUGGCGACGAAAACCAAGUGCUAACUUUUUCACUCACUUUCGGUUUUUGCCGACGAAAACAAGAAAUCUGAGGGCUGUUUCCGGUUUUGCUGACAAAAUAAAGUGCUAAAUUUCAUAACUGAAGUUUGAUUUUAUUUUAAAUAGACCCAUGAUGUUUUGAUUUUAAUGUGUAAUUUUGAGAUUUAUCUUCAAAAUAAAAAUCAUGUACUUUUAUA
rnacentral:lncRNA from 1 species